ACUCACUACUUAUUCAUUUAAAUUCACAUUCGCAUCAACAUAUAAGUGAUAAAGACCGUCAAUUAAAAGACUACAUGCAACCAAUUUAUUUCAAAAAUAAAUAAAAUAAAAGCCUUUAUUGAAAUUAAAAUCAAAAUCAUUUUGUGCUAGCAUAGACAUGAAAAUUAAAUUUCGACUAGAAACAAAAUAACAGUCUUUUAAAUCUAAUCUAAAUCCUAACGGU
rnacentral:lncRNA from 1 species